GACGAACGCUGGCGGCGCGCCUAACACAUGCAAGUCGAACGGAGCUUAGAGAGCUUGCUUUUUAAGCUUAGUGGCGAACGGGUGAGUAACGCGUGAGUAACCUGCCCUAGAGUGGGGGACAACAGUUGGAAACGACUGCUAAUACCGCAUAAGCCCACGGUACCGCAUGGUACUGAGGGAAAAGGAUUUAUUCGCUUUAGGAUGGACUCGCGUCCAAUUAGCUAGUUGGUGAGGUAACGGCCCACCAAGGCGACGAUUGGUAGCCGGACUGAGAGGUUGAACGGCCACAUUGGGACUGAGACACGGCCCAGACUCCUACGGGAGGCAGCAGUGGGGGAUAUUGCACAAUGGGGGGAAACCCUGAUGCAGCGACGCCGCGUGGAGGAAGAAGGGUUUUCGGAUUGUAAACUCCUGUCGUUAGGGACGAUAAUGACGGUACCUAACAAGAAAGCACCGGCUAACUACGUGCCAGCAGCCGCGGUAAAACGUAGGUUGCAAGCGUUGUCCGGAAUUACUGGGUGUAAAGGGAGCGCAGGCGGGAAGACAAGUUGGAAGUGAAAACCAUGGGCUCAACCCAUGAAUUGCUUUCAAAACUGUUUUUCUUGAGUAGUGCAGAGGUAGAUGGAAUUCCCGGUGUAGCGGUGGAAUGCGUAGAUAUCGGGAGGAACACCAGUGGCGAAGGCGGUCUACUGGGCACCAACUGACGCUGAGGCUCGAAAGCAUGGGUAGCAAACAGGAUUAGAUACCCUGGUAGUCCAUGCCGUAAACGAUGAUUAUUAGGUGUUGGGGGAUUGACCCCCUCAGUGCCGCAGUUAACACAAUAAGUAAUCCACCUGGGGAGUACGACUGCAAGGUUGAAACUCAAAGGAAUUGACGGGGGCCCGCACAAGCAGUGGAGUAUGUGGUUUAAUUCGAAGCAACGCGAAGAACCUUACCAGGUCUUGACAUCCGAUGCAUAACACAGAGAUGUGUGAAAUCCUUCGGGACAUCGAGACAGGUGGUGCAUGGUUGUCGUCAGCUCGUGUCGUGAGAUGUUGGGUUAAGUCCCGCAACGAGCGCAACCCUUAUUGCCAGUUACUACGUUAAGAGGACUCUGGCGAGACUGCCGUUGACAAAACGGAGGAAGGUGGGGAGGACGUCAAAUCAUCAUGCCCUUUAUGACCUGGGCUACACACGUACUACAAUGGCGUUAAACAAAGAGAAGCAAGACCGCGAGGUGGAGCAAAACUCAAAAACAACGUCUCAGUUCAGAUUGCAGGCUGCAACUCGCCUGCAUGAAGUCGGAAUUGCUAGUAAUCGCGGAUCAGCAUGCCGCGGUGAAUACAAUCCCGGGCCUUGCACA
rnacentral:rRNA from 1 species